GGGGAAUCUUGCGCAAUGGACGAAAGUCUGACGCAGCCAUGCCGCGUGAGUGAUGAAGGCCCUCGGGUCGUAAAGCUCUGUCCAAGGGGACGAAAAAGGUGUUGGCGAACAUCCAGCAUCUCUGACGGUACCCUUGAAGAAAGCACCGGCUAACUCCGUGCCAGCAGCCGCGGUAAUACGGAGGGUGCAAGCGUUGUUCGGAAUUACUGGGCGUAAAGCGCGCGCAGGCGGCAUUAUAAGUCGGGUGUGAAAUCCCUGGGCUUAACCCAGGACGUGCGCCUGAUACUGUGAUGCUAGAAUCUGGGAGAGGGAUGUGGAAUUCCUGGUGUAGAGGUGAAAUUCGUAGAGAUCAGGAGGAACACUCGUGGCGAAGGCGACAUCCUGGACCAAGAUUGACGCUGAGGCGCGAAAGCGUGGGGAGCAAAC
rnacentral:rRNA from 1 species